UUCGGGGAGCAUACACAGGUGUUGCAUGGCUGUCGUCAGCUCGUGCCGUGAGGUGUUAGGUUAAGUCCUGUAACGAGCGCAACCCUUACCGUUAGUUACAUGUGUCUAACGAGACUGCCCGGCUAAAACUGGGAGGAAGGUGGGGAUGAUGCCAAGUCAGCAUUGGCCUUUAUAUCCUGGGCUACACACACGCUACAAUGGCCGGUACAAUGGGUCGCUAAGCCGCGAGGCGGAGCCAAUCCUAACAAAACCGGUCUCAGUUCAGAUUGCAGGCUGCAACUCGCCUGCAUGAAGUUGGAGUUGCUAGUAAUCGCAGAUCAGCACGCUGCGGUGAAUACGUUCCCGGGCCUU
rnacentral:rRNA from 1 species